UUUAUUUGCUUACAAAAUAUAAUUAAUUAUACUAUUAAUGUUGGUUUUCCAACUACGACGAUAAACGAAUAUCGUAAUAACCAUUACGGACGUGGGGGCAGUACCCACCACCUCCACCAUUUAGAAUAUGGGGGUGAAAUAGAAUCGACGGGUGACUAAAAGCUAUUCUUUCGUUCGGGAUUGUUCCACCGUAACGGGCUAAACUUUAAAUGCUAACGAAAGUUACGCUAUUGCUGCAUAAUUAACUUAGGUUAAUUAUAGAAGCACGGUCUGGGGCACCGGGUAACAGAACGCCCCCUUA
rnacentral:tmRNA from 1 species